UGCUUAAUACAUGCAAGUCGUGCGAGAAAGAUUCUUCGGAAUUGAGUAGAGCGGCGAACGGGUGAGUAACACGUAAAUAACCUACCUUUAAAUCUGGGACAACAUUUCUAACGAGAUGCUAAUACCGGAUGUGGCAAUAUUUUCUCCUGAUUAUAUUGUUAAAGAUGACCUCUUCUUGAAAGUUAUUGUUUAGAGAUGGAUUUGCGCACUAUUAGUUAGUUGGUAAGGUAAUGGCUUACCAAGACGAUGAUAGUUAGCCGACCUGAGAGGGUGAUCGGCCACAUUGGGACUGAGACACGGCCCAGACUCCUACGGGAGGCAGCAGUAGGGAAUCUUGCGCAAUGGACGAAAGUCUGACGCAGCAACUCCGCGUGAGGGAAGACGGGCUUCGGUUUGUAAACCUCUUUUAUGUAGGAAGAAACUUUAUAGUGCUAAUCAGCUAUGAAUUGACGGUACUACUUGAAUAAGCGACGGCUAAAUACGUGCCAGCAGCCGCGGUAAUACGUAUGUCGCAAGCGUUAUUCGGAAUCACUGGGCGUAAAGAGUUCGUAGGCGGAUAAAUAAGUCAGAAGUGAAAUUUUGGGGCUCAACCCCGAAACUGCUUUUGAAACUGUUUAUCUUGAGUAUGUGAGAGGAAGAUGGAAUUUCUGGUGUAGCGGUGGAAUGCGUAGAUAUCAGGAAGAACACCGGUGGCGAAGGCGGUCUUCUGGCACAAUACUGACGCUGAGGAACGAAAGUGUGGGGAGCGAACAGGAUUAGAUACCCUGGUAGUCCACACCGUAAACGAUGGACACUAGUUGUCGGAGAGCUUGACUUUUCGGUGACGAAGCUAACGCAUUAAGUGUCCCGCCUGGGGAGUACGUCCGCAAGGAUGAAACCCAAAGGAAUUGACGGGGGCCCGCACAAGCGGUGGAGCAUGUGCUUUAAUUCGAUGCAACGCGAAGAACCUUACCUGGUCUUGACAUACUACUGACCGGCACAGAGAUGUGCUUUUUUCUUCGGAGACAGUAGAUACAGGUGCUGCAUGGUUGUCGUCAGCUCGUGUCGUGAGAUGUUGGGUUAAGUCCCGCAACGAGCGCAACCCUUGUCCUUAGUUGCUAGCAGGUAAUGCUGAGAACUCUAAGGAGACUGCCCUCGCAAGGGGGAGGAAGGUGAGGAUGACGUCAAAUCAUCAUGGCCCUUACGACCAGGGCUA
rnacentral:rRNA from 1 species